UAGUCAUAUGCUUGUUUCAAGGAUUAAGCCAUGCAAGUCUCAGAGUAAAUGGAUUAACAGUGGAUCUGCAGACGGCUCAUUAAAUCAGCUGCAAUCUGCGCCGGGAAGGAGCUAUAAGGCACCCAGUUGGAUAACAAGCGUAACUCGCUUGCUAAUACAUGUCCGAACAUCGCGACUCAGGUUCCACCCGGUGCGGGAAACCAAUCCGGGCUGAGGCGUGAACAGUUGACCGAAACAAAAAUCAACGCUGGCAACAGCAGCGGUGAGUGGAUGAAACAGGUCAACCGAGUGAUAGCACAUUCCUUAUGGAGGUGCAAGCCGGCAAGAGCAUCUGCCCUAUCAGCUUUGACGGUAGUGUAGUGGACUACCGUGGCGUUAACGGGUAACGGGGAAUUAGGGUUCGAUUCCGGAGAGGGAGCCUGAGAAACGGCUACCACAUCUAAGGAUGGCAGCAGGCGCGCAAAUUGCCCAAUAGCAACACUGCUGAGGCAGCGAAGAGAAAUAGUAACUUCUACCACAACUGUGGUAUGGAGCUGCAAUGGAUGAUAUCUAAACCUGUCAGUGAACUCCAUUGGUGGACAAGUCUGGUGCCAGCACCCGCGGUAAUUCCAGCACCAAUAGCGUAUAUUAAUGCUGCUGCUGUUAAAAAGCUCGUAGUUGGAUACAGAGCUCAGGUUGUGUUGUGGCCGUUGACUUUGUGAAGCAGCGUACUGCUGUGGAGCAUCGUCUUCGGAUUGAACCCAGCACGUCAAGACCUGUGCUCUAGGAAUGGUGGUAAUGGUGCCCUGUGAGUAAGCUCCUUCAUUGGGGCUGAAAACGCUUACGUGUAAACCAUACGCAUACGGGUCGACCACCGAUGUUACUGUGAACAAAUCAGUGUGUCCAAAGCAGGCGUUGCCUUGAAUGAUAAAGCAUGGAAUAACAAGGGAUCGAUUCUCUCGGAUCUUUUUGUUGGUUUUUAACCCGAGAAGGAGUAAUUCGAGGUGCGGUCUGACUAGCCACUUCGGUGGCGAACUCGGAACGUACCUAGCCGGGAUCAAUAGGGACUGCCGGGGUCGUACGUACUCCCACGUCAGAGGUGAAAUUCUUAGAUCGUGGGAAGACGAACUUCUGCGAAAGCAUUCGACAAGAAUGUCUUCAUUAAUCAAGAACGAGAGUGUGGGGAUCGAAGAUGAUCAGAUACCGUCGUAGUCCACUACUGUAAACGAUGCCGUCUCAUGAUCGAGAGGUGCCCAUUAUGGCCCUCACGGCACUAACCCCUGAACGAGAAAUCAAGAUUAUGGGUUCAUGGGGGAGUACAUUCGCAAGGCUGAAACUUAAAGGAAUUGACGGAAUGACACCACCAGGCGUGGAGUAUGCGGCUUAAUUUGACUCAACACGGGGAAUUUUACUAGGUCAGGACAAUCCCAGGAUUGACAGAUUGAGAGCUCUUUCUCGAUCCAUUGUGUGGUGGUGCAUGGCCGCUCCUGGCUGGUGGAGUGAUUUGUCUGGUUGAUUCCGUUAACGAACGAGAUCUCGACCCUUAAAUAGGUAUGCUGGUCGCCCAGUGAUUGGCCCUGCUUGCAGUGCGCCUUUCACUAGACACGGUAACUACUUCUUAAGGGGACUGCGUGCGCUGCUAGUACGCGGAAGAGCGAGCCAAUAGCAGGUCUGUGAUGCUCCUAAAUGUCCUAGGCUGCACGCGCACUACACUGACGCAUUAAACGAGUCUGUUUGCCUUACGGCAACCUAUCUUGAAGAGGAUGGGAAAUCUUUUGAACUUGCGUCGUGAUGAGGAUCGAUGACUGCAAUUAUUCUCCUUGAAUGAGGAAUGCCUAGUAGGCGCAAGUCAUCAGCUUGCACUGAUUACGUCCCUGCCAUUUGUACACACCGCCCGUCGUUGCUACCGAUUGGCUGUGGGAUAGAGCUGGACAGAGAUGUGCGUUUUGGGGCUCUCUCAAUUCGUGCGUCGAAAUUCAGCAAUAUUUCUCAGCUAGAGGAAGCAAAAGUCGUAACAAGGUUGCU
rnacentral:rRNA from 1 species